CCGGGGAGUUGCGGCCCUAUGAGUAGAAGUCUUUCUGUUCGGCUGGAAAAGUGACAGGUGCUGCAUGGCUGUCGUCAGCUCGUGUCGUGAGAUGUUGGGUUAAGUCCCGCAACGAGCGCAACCCUCGCCUCUAGUUGCCAGCAUUCAGUUGGGCACUCUAGAGGGACUGCCGGUGAUAAGCCGCGAGGAAGGUGGGGAUGACGUCAAGUCCUCAUGGCCCUUACGGGCUGGGCUACACACGUGCUACAAUGGCGGUGACAGUGGGACGCGAAGGGGUGACCCUUAGCAAAUCUCCAAAAGCCGUCUCAGUUCAGAUUGCACUCUGCAACUCGAGUGCAUGAAGGUGGAAUCGCUAGUAAUCGUAGAUCAGCAUGCUACGGUGAAUACGUUCCCGGGUCUUGUA
rnacentral:rRNA from 1 species